rnacentral:rRNA from 1 species
AGAGUUUGAUCCUGGCUCAGGAUGAACGCUGGCGGCGUGCUUAACACAUGCAAGUCGAACGAUCCUUCGGGAUAGUGGCGGACGGGUGAGUAACGCGUGGGAAUCUGCCCUCAGGAGGGGGAUAACGGCUGGAAACGGCCGCUAAUACCCCAUAUGCCGAGAGGUGAAAUGAAUUUCGCCUGAGGAUGAGCCCGCGUCUGAUUAGCUAGUUGGUGGGGUAAAGGCCUACCAAGGCAACGAUCAGUAGCUGGUCUGAGAGGAUGAUCAGCCACACUGGGACUGAGACACGGCCCAGACUCCUACGGGAGGCAGCAGUGGGGAAUUUUCCGCAAUGGGCGAAAGCCUGACGGAGCAACGCCGCGUGAGGGAUGAAGGCCUCUGGGCUGUAAACCUCUUUUCUCAAGGAAGAAGACCUGACGGUACUUGAGGAAUAAGCCACGGCUAAUUCCGUGCCAGCAGCCGCGGUAAUACGGGAGUGGCAAGCGUUAUCCGGAAUUAUUGGGCGUAAAGCGUCCGCAGGCGGCCUUGUAAGUCUGUUGUUAAAGCGUGGAGCUCAACUCCAUUUAAGCAAUGGAAACUACAAGGCUGGAGUGUGGUAGGGGCAGAGGGAAUUCCCGGUGUAGCGGUGAAAUGCGUAGAUAUCGGGAAGAACACCAGUGGCGAAGGCGCUCUGCUGGGCCAUAACUGACGCUCAUGGACGAAAGCCAGGGGAGCGAAAGGGAUUAGAUACCCCUGUAGUCCUGGCCGUAAACGAUGAACACUAGGUGUCGGGGGAAUCGACCCCCUCGGUGUCGUAGCCAACGCGUUAAGUGUUCCGCCUGGGGAGUACGCACGCAAGUGUGAAACUCAAAGGAAUUGACGGGGGCCCGCACAAGCGGUGGAUUAUGUGGUUUAAUUCGAUGCAACGCGAAGAACCUUACCAGGGUUUGACAUCCUGCGAACCCCUGAGAAAUCGGGGGGUGCCUUCGGGAGCGCAGAGACAGGUGGUGCAUGGCUGUCGUCAGCUCGUGUCGUGAGAUGUUGGGUUAAGUCCCGCAACGAGCGCAACCCACGUCUUUAGUUGCCAGCAUUCAGUUGGGCACUCUAGAGAGACCGCCGGUGAUAAACCGGAGGAAGGUGUGGAUGACGUCAAGUCAUCAUGCCCCUUACAUCCUGGGCUACACACGUACUACAAUGCUACGGACAAAGGGCAGCAAGCUCGCGAGAGUUAGCAAAUCCCAUAAACCGUGGCUCAGUUCAGAUCGUAGGCUGCAACUCGCCUACGUGAAGGAGGAAUCGCUAGUAAUCGCAGGUCAGCAUACUGCGGUGAAUACGUUCCCGGGCCUUGUACAC